GUUGUAAGUCUUCUGAAUCCUUUUUUAUUUAUAAAAGUGCUUUUAAAGAUGGAUUAUAAGCCUUCUGGUUAAUCGUAAGCCACUUUUAGAGAAACUUAUUGAUAAAAGUGGAUUUAGAAUAGUGAACUAUAAGGUUUUGAAAAAAAUCACAUGAUUAUGAUAGUGAUUGAUUCGCAGAUGACGCCAGUGUCAAGAUUUAUUAUGGUCGCCACUUUUUUAAAUGGAUUUUGUAUUUUUUGUUACGUAAUAUAGACCUAUUGUCUUUAAUAUUUUUAUAAUUUUCAUCUUGUUUUAAAAUAUACGAUUGACUCCUUGGAUGCCAGUGCUUUCCAAAUUCAAGCGUGGUGUCAUUGAAAUAAAAAUAGCUUCUUCAGUAUUUUAAAUAAAAUGGCUACAUCGUCGACAUUGCCUGGAGCAAAGAGAAAUACACAGAUCAGAAAUAUAAGGCAAGGCAGCAUAUUAGAUAUUGAUGCUGAUAUGUUUCUUAAGAUAUCUAAUUAUGAGGACACUCUUAAACAAUUAGAUAUAUAUUAUGGAAUUGUUAAAAGACAAUUGUUACGUUAUCAGAGCUGCAUAACCGGCUUGUUUCCGCAGAUUUCGAGCGAUCGGAAGAUCGGUAGCGUACGUGAAAGCAUAUAUUGUGCAGUUGCAAUAUGGAGUUUGUAUCAAGCAUAUAGACGUAUCGAUGACGAUCGUGGAAAAUCAUAUGAAUUAGGACAAUCUGCAAUAAAAUGCAUGCGAGGUAUUUUAGAAUGUUGGAUAAAGCAAUCCUCUAGAGUAGAACUUUUUAAGAAAAAUCAAUGUGAUCGUUAUGCGUUACAUUGCAAGUUCCACUUGGAUACAGGUGAUACAGUUUACGAGGAUGCCAACUAUCAUCAUUUACAAAUCGACAUUGUGUCUCUUUACUUGAUAUUCUUAGUACAAAUGAUUUCCUCUGGACUACAAAUUAUAUACACACAAGAUGAAGUGGCUUUUGUACAAAAUCUGGUAUAUUAUGUCGAAAGAGCGUACCGUACACCAGAUUAUGGUAUGUGGGAACGGGGAAGUAGAUAUAAUGAUGGAACACCUGAAAUUCAUGCCAGUUCCAUCGGGAUUGCCAAGAGUGCAUUGGAAGCGAUUAAUGGCUGUAACUUAUUUGGUGAAAAAGGUGCAUCAUGGUCUGUGAUAUACGUUGAUAUAGAUGCCCAUAAUCGCAAUCGUAGUAUUUUUGAAACAAUGCUUCCAAGAGAAUCUAGCUCGAAAAGUGUAGAUGCGGCUUUGCUGCCAACGAUAUCCUUUCCUGCUUUUGCAACUCACGAAGAUGUGCUGUACAAUGAAACAAAAACUAACAUAAUUCGCAGACUAAAAGGCAAUUAUGGCUUUAAACGAUUUGGAAGAGAUGGUUAUAAGACAGUAUUAGAGGAUAAACAGCGGCGGUAUUACAAACCUGGAGAGAUUAAGGAUUUCGAUAAUAUCGAAUGUGAAUGGCCAAUAUUUUACAUCUUUAUGAUAAUAGAUGGUGUAUUUAAGAGUUUAUCAGAACAAGUGGAAGAAUAUCAAAAUUUAUUGAAAGCGAGAGUGCACAAGGAUUUAAAUGGAGACCCUGUAAUUCCCAUGUAUUAUUAUGUACCCAUGGAAAAUUUAGAAACUGAAAGAAAUGAACCAGGCAGCGCUUAUCGGCUACCUAGCAAUGAAGGAAGAAGCCUGAGGUCUGCGGAUCAAGAAGCUGUUCCAAUAUACUUGUGGAAUCAAGCUAUGUUCGUGAUAGCACAGUUACUCACUUCUGGUCUUUUGCAUAUCAACGAACUAGAUCUGAUUCGUCGAUAUCUUCCAUCAUAUAAUCGUCCACGACGAACAGGAAGAUAUUCUGCUUUCCAGGCAAAACCUACUAUAGGUACUCAUACUGAUUUAGUAGUACAAAUAGUUCUGAUCGCAGAAUCUAUGCGAUUGCAAGCAAUGAUGGCCACAUAUGGUAUUCAGACACAAACACCUCACGAAGUUGAACCCGUUCAAAUUCUGUCGUCCACUCAGCUAGUGAAGGUUUAUCAAAAAUUAGGAGUAAACAAGAAGCUAAAUCUCCAAGGACGACCUGCACGACCUAUAGGUUCCUUAGGUACAAGCAAGGUGUAUAGAGUCUGUGGUAUGACAGUGCUUUGUUAUCCUUUGAUCUUUGAAGUAUCUGAAUUUUAUUUAUAUAGAGACAUGGCUCUGUUAAUUGAUGAUAUUAAAACGGAAUUACAAUUCGUGGGCAAGUACUGGCGUCUUUCUGGUCGUCCCACUGUAUGUCUUUUAAUACGAGAGGAACAUAUGCGAGAUCCGCAAUUUAAAAAGAUGUUAGACCUUUUUGCGAUGUUGAAAAAAGGUUACUGCGAUAAGACGAAAGUACGCAUUGGCCGACUGCAAAAUUUGAUUUCAUCAUCUUGCAUUGAACACUUAGACUUCGUAAAUACUCUGGAAACAGAUCUGGAUUUGACACAGUUUAGACAAUUGCAGCACGAUUAUAUUGGUUAUCAAAGUCUCACGGAUGUUCCAAAAGCCAUCGCUUAUUCUGAAGACAUCAAGGAUUAUUCUUAUAUGUUAAAUGAACCUCUUGGCAACAUAUUAAACGAACUUCGUAAUAGUGUCGGUUUAUAUGCCAAAUGUCAAUUAUAUGAUAUUCUAAUAAAACGAGAAGGAAUUAAUUACGAAAUCAAUGGGGUGACAGUUCACGAUAACCUGAGAUUGUUAUAUCAACAAGCUGGGUCUUUAAGAUUCUGGAUGGCUGUACGCUAUUGCAGCAGCCUGUUAAAUCAUACGGUAGAUAGCAUCAGUCCUUUUAUCACAGGUGUACUAGUCAAGGGAAAACAGAUCGCAGUGGGAGUGAUUGGACAGAAAGAAACGGUAUUUGAUAAACCCAUGACACCGGCGGAAAUACAGUCAGUGAUGUAUUCUACAAUACAGCCGCACAACGUGGUACAAGCUGUACUCCAACAAGAAAUUCUAUUGUAUUGCGGUAGACUUAUCGGUACUAAUCCAGAAAUGUUCAAAGGCAUAUUAAAAAUACGCAUCGGAUGGGUCUUGGAGGCGAUGAAACUUUACUUACAAAUGUUUGUAAAAGACGCCAAGCCGAUCGAAAAUUAUAGUCCUUACGAAGUCCGACAAUUUCUUAUCAAAGUAUUGACUGUCAAGGAAUGGGCUCAUGAGGAAAAUCUGACAGUGCUCGCCCGCCGAAAAAUUGAAGGUUGUUUGUGCAGAGUGCCAGCACACUUCUACAAUCAAGUAUGGGAAAUUCUGGUACGUUGUCCUGGCGGUAUUGUAAUAAGCGGACGAGAAUUACUUCAACAAACUGUUGUGUCCAGCAUGACUCGUUCCGAGCUUACAUUUGCCUUACUUGUGGAAUCUUUGCUGCAUCAUCUACAGGUACCAGAGUAUCGUCAGAUUAUAGUUGAACUUAUGAGUAUUAUGUCAACUAUUUUGCUUCGAAACCCAGAAUUGAGUUUUCAAAAACAGUUAAAUCUUAAUCAACUUGUGGAAGAUAGUUUUAUCAUGUAUUGUAAGGAUCACAAUAUAUUGAAUGUUAAUGACAAAUCAUCAUUCUUCUCCGAAAAUUAUUCAGUGACUAUGGGAUAUCUUGCUAGAGCCAUAGUCAACAAUGUUCUUACUGGUGGCUGUGUGACAACUAUUGUGGAUUCUGGUGAUGUCAUUGAAUCACCCCGAGAAAUGUGUAAAAUUACAUAACAAAUUGAAUUGAUCGUUAUAGGAAUUAGAUCUGAGAGAUUAUUAUUUAGCAUUACUAAAUUAUGCAAGUUGAAAGUGUAAAAAUAGGAUGUACACAAAUUCCAGUUAAAAAAAAAAUUUACUAAUUAUA
rnacentral:misc_RNA from 1 species